rnacentral:lncRNA from 1 species
CGCACGUGUCAGUCGCUUUCGAUCAUUUCGCGGGGCCCUACCAGUUUUCCGAUCUCUUCCCGAUUUCUACGCCGCUGAGACUGACUUUUGGGGAUACGUGGACUCGAACGACCGACGUGAAACGAUCUUUCCUGAAGACUGAGGUGCUUACUCCCUGGCAGGAAGUCGUCCAGGUGUUCUGCUCCCCACUUGCUACUCUUCUCUACCACCUCUCCAGCCAGGCCAACUUUUGACGGGACAUCGCCGAGCCUCGAGAUGACAGGACCCUCCUAGCAAAGAGCCGUGACGAAAAUUCGAUUUGAACAUGUUGAUUCGCUGGGUGCAUCGCGUGGACACGUAGAAACGUUGAAUCUGGAACAGACAAAGUAAUGUUUCAGUGAAGUCUGGAUUAUUGACACCUGGAAGGAUCGGUAACUGUGGCGUGGCUUGAGCAUGCGAAACACUUUCUCGCGGACUAUUAAAUUUCACGGCUACGUUAAUCAACAUGUUCGAGGUGAAGGUACGAUCGCAUCUCAUUGUUGGCGCGAAGCAGAAACAACAAUUAGCUUGAAUAAGGAAGCUUGGCCAUCGAGGGUUAGACAGUCCGGUUUAGGGUGAUGCGGUUCGCUGAUCAUCCUACCAGUUCUUCCUGCUUAGACGCGACUAAGAUCUCUUUUUCUUUCUGGGCGAUGACUAAACCCAACGUCUAUAAAUGUAAGAAAUACC